GGCAGAUGCCAAGAUGCCCGAUGCUCAAUCAGGCUAUGAAAAAGGGUCAACCGCAGUCAUGGCAGGGCUGUCAGGGUUAAAUAUGGUUUACGAAUCU
rnacentral:ncRNA from 1 species